AAACGAUCUAAAGCGGACACAAAUACAUUGAUCACCAUACACAUGUUACUGUCAGUAAUAAUAAGGCCUACAUGCACUUGAAUAUACUGGUCAGGUAUGCCACUUUAAUAUUCAAGACUUUUUAAGCCAAGAUACAUGUACGGAAAAAUACAAAUUAAAGCGUUCAAAGAUUAUAUUACUCUUAUUAAACUGUAGAAAAGCACCAAAUCAGUCUCACGGUUAUUUCUACAUUAGGGAUGAUAAGUGAAAAUAAGCAAAAGAUUUAUUCCAGAACUAGUGUUAUCAGACUACGAUUUAGGAUGAAGUAGGAAAUAUGAUAAUUACUUGCGUACAGUACAUAUUUUAAACGUUGUAUAGUGUGGGCCAAGAUUAGGGCCCAGUGUAAGAUUUUGGUCACUGAGGGUAAGGUUAGUGCCCAUCCUGAGCCACUAACUAUAGUCGGGCCUGCGGGGCUAAAUGCCCCCCCCCCCCAGGCCCCAGUAUAUAUGUUAAAACAUGCCUUGCCUGCGUAAAACAGAACGUUUCAAAAAAUCUGUCUUUAAAAGAGAAAUAGCAAUAAAAAUUUAGUUUCUCCCAUUUGGAAGGUGGAUUCAAUAUAUUUCAAAGCCAUUUUACAGAUUUUCUUUGUUGUUCUUGGUAUAAAAAGUAUUACACUUCAUUGCGAACAAAAUCGUUAUGCAUUCCGCCAUCUUGGAUAUGCAUAUCCAUCGUCGGAUAUGCGUGACGGCACAACCAGGGUAACAUUAUUUUGUAUCGCGAGUAAUACUCGGGUCAUUUUAAUGAUAAAUCCUAUUUUCUACUAUUGCCUAUUUUAAAAUUAAGGCAGAAGCUAGCUACAGUAUGUAGAAACUUUCCUCUGAUAAUAUUUUCUAUUUUGAAAAUGUCUACCCUAGUUGUGACGUCAUUUAAUUAGAUCUAAUUAUAAAGCAAGAUGGCGGAUGGUAGGAUAUUUUGGUUUCAAAUAUCUCAAAAACUAGGAUAGCUUGGGAUAAUUUGUAUAAAAGGAUUUGUAAGUAAUCUUAACAUUCUUUCAAAUUACGCAAACACAAUUUUUGUUGCCAUUUUCCUUUAAGGAACAUAACAGGAUUUAAUAGAUGUAUUGUGUUUAUAUAUAAAUUUUAUGCAAGUUUUAUUCAAUAUAUACAGUAGUUAGAGUACUGUAUCUCAAUGUUAUUAUAGUAUCUUAUUGUAUUUGCUAAAAGCCUCGCUUCUCGGCAGCGGCGGCGGAACAGAUUUCAUUCUGGGGGGGCUAAAUUUUUUUUUGUCUCCCCCCCCGUCGCCAAAAAAAUUUCGGUCAGUGUACCAUUUUAGGGGUACAAAAAAUUUUCCGGACAUUUACAAGAAAAGGGAUAAAAAAAUUUUUUC